rnacentral:lncRNA from 1 species
UUUUUUUUUUUUGGUUUUGGGCAUACUGAGAUUGAAGUAGAAGAAUGAGGAAGUGGUGGUGGCAGUGGCUACGAAUUCAUAAAAGACAAAGGGUAUGUUCAAUGAAAACUCAAAUUCUCUAACAACUCACAACAAAUUCACAAAAAAAAAAAUUAAAAACCUAAAAAAAAUUAACAAAGGGAUGACCUCGUUGAGGUCGUCUUCCUCAUCACAAAAGAGAAUCAGUGAAUUUAAAUUGUGUGCUUCCUCUCUUCUUCUUUAUGCCUUGCCAACAAAUUCACAACAAAUUCUCUUCUUCUCUUCCUCGUUGAGGUCGUCUUCCUUAAAUUCUCUAACAACUCACAACAAAUUCACAAUAUUUUAUUCCUCUCAACAGCAAUCCACAGAUUAGCAACAUCAUUCACAAAACCCUAACUGCAAUAGAACUCAAAGAUACAUAGACUUUUAGGGGAAAAAAGAAAUUACAAGUGCUUUGUCGACCGAUUCGGACCAGAUUUAGAGUUUCAGCUGGGCUUCUGUG